GAUAUGGAGAAGGAGAAUGAGCUUCGACUUCUGCGCAUCGGUACACUAUGGGGGCCGCCAUUUUAUCAGUUAACCUUAAAGUUUUGUUUACCUACGAGGUUACGACGUUGUUGAACCAGUUGUAAUUUGGAGUUAAAAUUAUUACUUAAUUUGUUUUACCGUUAGUGUACGUGUGAACGUGCUUGUUAGUGUUAAAGGACAUUAUUAUUGACAACAAACAUGUCUUGUACAGUUUCUCACUGUAAAAAUUGUCAACGAUUUCGUUCAGAAGGUGUAUCUUUUCAUCAGUUUCCGAAAGAUCGAAAACUUUUAAAAAAGUGGCUGAUUGUUGUGAAAAAAGAUGACAGCUUCAAACUGACUAAGUAUAAGCUGGUGUGCUCAGAUCAUUUCACAACAACUGAUUUCAUUGUUGUAAAUGAGUGAAAACGAUUGAAAUCGAACGCAAUUCCCAGUGUGAAUUUAGAUGAAAGUCUAGAAGCUUCUUCAACUUCAAUGAGUACUGUGAGUGCUACUUCAGCUGAUAUUUGAGAAGAGUCUCCAUCGAUUAUACCUCAAGGUGUAAAGAGGACAUUAAGUGCUGCGCAGAGAUACCAUGGAAAAAGCAGUAGCAGUACAAGUGGAAGUAAAAGCAAGAACUCAAAAAGUAGUUCUGACAGUAGGGAAGGUGAUAAGCUGGCGUUACAUAAAGAAACUUUAUGAAUUACAAAAUGAUGAAUUCCUAAAUGUUGCAAAUAAGUUGAAAAAGGCACAUUUGGAGUGAUGGAAACAUAAAAUGAAAUUCUAUUAUAGGUGAGUUUAGCAGCACAAACUCUUAGCAAGAGUUGCGGAUGCACUUGAAUUUUUAAAACAUCUUGGUAUUAGUGACUUUCAAGG